rnacentral:lncRNA from 1 species
GGAUCGGGAGCUUGGGCUUAUCAGACACAACUUAGAAUAGAUUUACAAGGAGAUCCUGCUGAAUAGCAUUGAGAACUAUGUCUAGAUACUCAUGUUGCAACAGAACAAAGUGUGGGGAAAAAAUGUAAUUGUAAUGUAUACAUGUAAGGAUAACUUGAUCCCCUUGCUGUACAGUGGCGAAAAAAAAAACCUGUGUAUUUGGGGGCAAGCUACUUAUAGUCUUUGAUCUUCAAUUUUAUAACUUUCAAAAAUUGUUGUGUAGAUUACAUGAAAUUAUGUAUGUAAAGUCCCUAGUGUAGUAUGUGAAAUAAAAUAGAUGGUUAGUAAUUUCUAGACAUAGUUAUUAUUCCAAUUUCUGAUUAUGUCAUUGGGCCACCAUUUCCACAAUGCUUCACCAUUAUAUGCAAUACAAAUAGUACAAAUAAAAUAUAGAAUGCAUCUUCUUAUUUUUCUAUAAGAAAAUUAGUUUUGUUUUCUUAUUUUCCAUAGUCACAGCCUCCUUUUGCUCUGAAGGAAUCUUGAGUUAUAUAUCAUAUAAAGAAUUCUACAAACUCUAUGUUGAGUCCUCACCACACUAUUGCUGGUUUGAAUGCUCAUGCUACCAACACGAGCAGCCAAGCAUGGUCCACCUCAGACCCAGUCAGAUCAUCAAAUGUGCUUAUAGCACAGUCUAACUCAGGAACAGGUUACCAACUAAUUUUUUGUUGUUAUCCUUUCCCUUUUCCCAUUUACAGAAAAGGUUGUUGGUGGCAACCUUCCCAAUUUAGUUCAUGGAGAUGGACUGUGACAGGAUUACCGGAGAAAUGGAAACCACCUGGAGAUCAAGAAGUGCUAAAUUCCAUCUAGACACAAAUCAGAGUCAUCAUCUUGCCUCAAACUCCUCAGGAAAAAGAGUUUUUAACACCCUUCUGUUUUUCAGCUGUUUUUCCCCCCUUUGUUUUACUUAGGACAGUUUUUCUCACUGUAUCUUCAAGUUUAUUGACCUGUUAUUCAGCAGUUUUGAGUUGGCUAAGCCCACCCAGUCAUUUCUUUUUCCAUUUCAGGCACUGUAUUUUUCCACUCUACCAGUUCCAUUUUUUAAAAAUAUUCUGUAAUUUUUAAAUCUGUAAAAAUCUUAAUAUGUUUGUAAUUCCUUAAAAUCCUUGAUUAUAUCUAUAAUAGCUAUUUUAAAGCCUUUGUCUACUUAUUCUAUCAUUAUCUAUUAUUGAUGUGUCUGUUUCUUUUGUGUGAUUUUUCUCUUGGUUAUGUGUUACAUUAAACUGCUUCAUCACAUAUUCACUGAGUUUUGAUUGGUUGCUGGACACUGUAAUGCGAUAUUAUUGGCUAUCUAGAUUUUGCUUUAUUCCUUCACAAAGACUUGAUAUUUUUCAAAGUAUCUGUGCCUCAGCCUGAUCCUUUUGAGGCUUAUUUUUAAGUGUGGUUAAAGUGGGUCAAAAGUAUCUGUUACUUUGAGGCUAUUUUGGGUCCACUCCCUGAGGCCUGACUAUUUUGGUGUCUUUACUGAAUGCCCUGGGUGCUAAAAGAAUUUCUUUCUACUCUAGCAGUUGAAAAUCUCUCUCAGACCUGUGUGAGUCCUGGGAAUUGCUCAGUAUACAGCUUCCUGGCAGUUGUUCUCUGUCUGGUCUCAUGGAAAUUUACCCUAUAAAUGUUUGGUGUAACAUACAGUCAAAGAUCCAGGGAAUCAAUGUGUAGAUUUCUGGAGCUCUCUUUUCUAUGUAGCCCUCUUCUCUUAUUCUUCUCCACAAAUUCCAGUUGGUGAGCGUUCAUGAAUUCAGUAUCUUCAUCUCAAUAAGGCUACUGUGAUAUGCUGGGAUUGCUUCUUCCUGCACCACAGCCCUGGAAUUGCCCCCAGGGAGAAAUCCUGGGUGAUCACAGGAUUCACCUCAUUGAUUUCCCUUUUCUCACUCCUUAACUGCCUGCUCUCUACUGUCUGUCUGAGAGCUUAUUUAAUGUGUUUUCCUAGUUUUUUAUAGAAGAAAAAAUAAUUCUAGAACCAAUAACUUCGUCAUGGCUCAAUAAAUUAUUUUAAUGAAUAUUAGGUAGGGUGAAGAUAUAAUAUAUUGUACAUACUGUCUCACUUAAUAGAAAGGAAGGAGUACCAUUAAUCAUUAUCUGAGAUAAUAGAUGAAAAUUGGAUUUAUUUUAGGAAAAACAAGAUAAAAUCUUACCUUAUUUUUAAAAAAAAAAUAGAUUAUGUGGCUGUUGGGUGGAAAAUAGAUUGGAAUGAUAGAAAUAAGACUGGGAACGGGAAAACUAGUUAGCAGUCCACUGUAGAGAUGACUGUGGCCAGGACUAUACUGAUAUUUGUAGAAAUGGUAGAAAAGUGAAUGUAUUUGAGAUAGUUUAGAGACUGUAUUACAGAUGAAUUGAAUGGUGAGUGAUGAAUGGAGAAAAGAAGCUAAGCAAAGAUUAAAGUUUCUCAGCUAUGCUUAUUGGAAUCACAUGUUUCCAUUUACUGACAGGGAAUUCUGGCAGAAGAAAAAGUUUCAGAGGAAAAACUGACCAUUCCGAUAUUUAACAUAAUGAAUUAUAUAUGCUUGGUAGGCAUCUUAGUAUGCAUAAAAUAUACAACUAUAAAUGUUGGAUGUGGUGUGGUAAAGUCAGUGUGGCCACAGUAGGAAAUGAGAAUGAGGCUUGAAAGGAAGAGGUUUCCCAUGGCUGGGGGGCGGAGAGGAGAGUUGUCACUGAAUGCCACAGAGGAUCAAAGGGGAAACACCAGGUUUAGUGAGGCAACAAGAAUGAGGGAAAAGUCUAGGCCAGAGCCUUAAUUGGAGUUUCUGUGGGAAAGGCAAGGCCAGUAGAAUAAAUAGCUUAGAAAUGUCAAAUAUGAAUAAUUCCAGUGGACCUUGGCUAUCAUGGUGGUCUCCAGUUGCCUGAAAGUUGGCUCUGCGAUGAGUUAGUCAAAGGCAAAUAUUAUUAGCUUGGUGUGUGAGAGUUUGAUAAGAAGUGGAUGGGGCUAAAUCCUCAGGCUUGGUUGAUUGUGCUCCCAGUCUUUCCUAAUUCUAAGAAUGGGCUAGCCCAGGAGGGGCAGUCUCUCCAUAGCUAGCAAGAUUUUUCAGAUGUCCAAAGAUCAUAAAAUAGGGAAAAGAAAAAACAUGGCUAGUACAAUAAAGAUACUCAAGUUUGAGGAUUUGGGGAGAGAUCAGAAAUUCAGAUAUAAAUAUUUAGUCAAUGGCUUAUAGCUUGCAAUUGAAGCCAUGGAAGACUGAGAUGAUUUCAGAAGAGUAUUUAGAUAGGGAAAAGGUGAGAUCUCAGGACAUAUUCCAAAGGAACUCCAACUCUGGAGGAUAAGAAAGAGGAACUGCAAGGACACAGAGAAGAAAAAAGUCAGAGGUAGGAAGAAAAUAAGAAGGACAGGGUAUCAUGAAAUCCAGAGUAAGAGAAUAUUUUAAAAAGAGGGGCAUGCUACAAGAAACCACAGCCUAGGUGUUGAUAGAUGCUAACAAUUAAAACAACAUAUUGAAUAAAGAUGGUUUAAUCACCACAUACUCUGGAGUACAAAGGAGGGAAGGACCUUUAUCAUUUGUGUGUUCAUGUUUACCCUUCCGAUGCUAAUUUAAUAAAAUGCAUUUAGUUCUAUAAAAAAACAGGGGUAUGCUACACUUCACUAAAUGUUGUAAAAGAUGAAACCGAAUUGAUACAUAAGAGAAUGUAUUUGAUUUUGAAUUAUGGAGGUCACUGGUGACGUUGCUAAGUUUAGGCCGUGGCCAGAUUUGAAUAGGUUUAAGAAAAAUGGAUGGUGCAAUAAUAAGUGAAGUGUAAGAAACUCUUAGAAAUUGAGGGGUGGGCAGUAAGUCAAAGGAGUAGUGGGUAGAGAGGACAGGUCAAAUAAUAAGUUUUUAAUGUUGUAAUAUACUACAACAUAUUGAAUUGCUGAUGGAAAAGAUCCUAUAUACUGGGAGAGGUUGAACACAUAGGAUAAAAGAAUGAAAUAUUCCUUAAAAGUGGUAGGGGAUAAGAUCGAGGAUAUGAGUGGAAGAAUUAGGACAGGAAGUGGGGUGCAUCCUCUACUGUAGAGGCAGGACAUCAGAAUACUUGAGACUACAGCUUAGGUUCAGAAUGCAAUCUGCUCUUUUCAAAUCAAAGCUCCUAAGCCUUUCUGUGUAACUUUGGGCAAGUUAAUUCAUCUAUUUGUCUUUUAGCGUCCUUACUGGUGAAAGGAGGCAAUCAUUAUAGUAUUGACCGCACAAAGUGGUCCCAAGUACUGAAGGAAACUCACCUCAGACAAUGCCUGUGUGUGCAUACCCAGACACGCACAGAGCUUAACACAGUGCCCUGCAGUAAGGAUUAAGUAAAUUUUAGACAUCAUAUAAUAGAACAAAAGAGUAUUUGUGCAUUGCAAAAAGACCAGCCUGAUCUAAAAUCCGAGGUUGUUUAUUUAUUAUCUUCACCAGAUAGCUCUGACUGUGAACUUACACUUUUGAAGAAGUUGGAGUAUGAGUACUUAUAUACAGAUCCAUGAUGGAAAUUGCCAUCUAAAGCAGUGCUACUCAAACUCUAGAUACAAAUGCUUGUCCAAGAACUGUUUAAUGCUGGUCUGUGAUGAGUAUAUAAGUUAAGAGGAACUGUUAAAAAAAAGGUUUAUGAUAAAGUUUAUAUGUCUUGAAAUAAUAAUAAUUUUAAAAUUAGGCUUGGAUCAUUUCUUUGUUUUUAUACAUUUCAUAUUAAUGCAUUUUAUUGGAUUUUUAAAAAUUGUUAACCCAUACUUAAUUAGAAAAACAUAAACAAACCCUGUUCCAACUGUACAAAUAACUUGAGAAGUGCAGAAUAAAGCAUAAAACCUAAUGCCCUUUUUCAAAGGGUUGUUGGAAAACCCACAUUUAUGUGCUUGUUUUUUGUGCACAAAUGAUGGCUAGAGAUUAUAAAAGAGUAAGACACAAUUGCUUACUUACAGGUAUGUAAAUCUAGUAUUUCUAGUAUAAUCUAAGUAUGUAAUGUACACAAAUAUGACAGUCACAUAAUUAUAAAACAGAAUAUUAACCUAGUUAAAAUUGCACUAAUUAAAAGAGACUGCCUGGAAAAAAUCAAUGCCCAUUUUUUGGAGGAGUUAAAUGAUGACCAAUACAUCAAUGUGGCUUGGGAUUGGAUUCGAAUUUUAAUAUUCCUUAAAGAUAUACAGUUGGGAAAAUUCAUUAAACUAUUAAUGCAACCAAUAUUUAUUGAAAACUCAAUAAUCGACCACCGUUAUACUGUUAAAAACAUAGCAGUGAAUGAGAUACCUUUGGUUUCUGUCAAAGAAUUUUUAAAAAUGCAUUGGACUACUUUAUUUGAGGAAAUGAUAAAUGCCAUGUUGAAGAUCUGAGGGAGUUCCUGUCUUGGCGCAGCAGAAACAAAUCCGACUAGGAACCAUGAGGUUGAGGGUUCAAUCCCUGGCCUUGCUCAGUGGGUUCAGGAUCUGGCGUUGCCGUGACCUGUGGUGUAGGUCACAGACGUGGCUCGGAUUUGGCAUUGCUGUGGCUCUGGCAUAGGCUGGAGGCUACAGCUCUGGUUAGACCCCUAGCCUGGGAACUUCCAUAUGCCAUGGGUGUGGCCCUAAAAGAACAAAAAGAAAAAAAUCUGAGAAGGGCAGUCUGGGAUGCUAUUUUCCAUAGGAUGAUGACUGAAAGACUCUCUGAUAAGGAGAGCUUUGCACAGAGACCUGAACAAAAGGAGGGAUUGGCUAUGCAGUUUAGGAAAAGAGUGUUCCAGAAAUGUGGAAUAGCUAGUGCAAAGUCUGGAGAUGGGAAUACAUGCACUGUAUUUAAAGAUCAACAAUGAGGGCUUUACAACUGGUGAAAAACAAGUCAAGAGAAGAGGAGUGAAAGAUGAGGUCAGAACUCAGAUUUGUAGUGUAUCUUACGCUAGGCGGGGAUUUUGGUUUUUUGGUUUUUGUUGCUUUUACUUUUAUUUAAAUAGGAAGCCACUGGAGAUUUUUAGCAGCAUCACGUGAUUUACCUUACACUUUAAGAAUUCUGAGUAGCACUGAGAACUAUGUCUAGAUACUCAUAUUGCAACAGAACAAAGGGUGGGGAAAAAAUGUAUACAUGUAAGAGUAACUUGAUCCCCAUGCUGUACAGUGGGGAAAAAAAAAGAAUUCUUCUGUUUUUUGAAAAUGUAGUAGGCAAAUGAAGAGGCAAGGAGAAUAGUGAAGAGACUGCUGUAACAGUCCAGGUGAGAUAUUAUGGCUAAAUAAGCGCAGACAUCAGGAGGGCCUGAGUGUCAGCGGUGGUGAGAAGGGGUAGGUUUUGACCACCACACAAAUCUGUCUAUAAUUUGGACCUGAUGUAUUUUUCUGGUAUCAAUUUGUAUUAUGUCUUGCCCAAUGACCAUAAUGACAUCAAUAAUAAUAAAAACUAAUGAAUG